CGGAAUUUCGGAGAAGCACUGGGUCACUUUGACUGAUAUGAGUGCCAUCUAUCAGAUAAAUACCACAACUUUCGGUGGGUUUCUGAAACUAUAGAAAUCUACCAUAAAUCUCGAAGCAUAUUCGAAUAUCAUCGAGUCGGUCGGAUGAUCGAAUCAUUUUGAGAUCCGUGACCCGAUCGUUCUUGUAUAGGUUAUAAUCGAAUCAAAAUGAUUCGAUCGAUCGUGAUCGACACAGCCCUAAUUCGACUUGCUGCACUAGUGCGGAAUGUCUCACGUAUUGUUCAAGGAAACUUUCAAUUUAGAUCACACGUCUUUUUUCAUCAUGCAUUAGUUUUCAUUUUAAAUAGGUUGCCAAUCCACAAACGGCGCACCGCGAAAAAAUUCAUCAGAUGGAAAAGAGUUAGACAUCUGAUAAAAUACCUCCCCGAAUCAACAGGAUACAGUAAUUGUGAGAAUCAUAUCACAAUAACUCCACAUACUGUUAACUCUAAAUAGGCAUCAUAUGUUUAAAUUGAUCUGAUCACUUUAUCUCAAAAACUGAAAAGCUACAUGAAAAUAUAUAUAUAAAAAAUAUUGUAGCUUACACACUCUGCAGAUGAGUAACAAAGGGUUUUGUUGUUACAUGGAAAAAUCUUAUUGAAAAAUAUGCCUUUAAAUUAUUGAUACCUAAUUUUUGAAAAACACUGCGUAAUAAAAUACAAAUAAACUUUUCUUAAUUAUUUAUUUUUGUUAUAUUACAUAACUUAUUGUCUGCUACCUCUACCAAAUCCUUGUCUCUGAAAAAAAAAAAAAAUUACAUUUCCAUUUUUUCAACAUUCAUUGCAAGCUUAGAAGAAAAAAAAAAGGAACACAAGCAAAGUUAAAUGUAUGAAGCCAAAAAUUUUAGGGCCUCGGUUCGAGUUGAUGUUCCACAUAGGUCAUGGGUAUUAAGUUUCCGCCAACAUUUUACUGUUGAAGGUUUAUUAUGAAUCAUUUGUGAUAAAUGUGAAUCUCUUUCAAAGAGAUUCAUUAUUGGACAUUCAACUAUUCAUUAAGACGUGCCCAAUUGAUGUCCAAACAAGUGAUAGAGAAUUUGACUUUUCAACUUACAAAUUCUAUAGCAGAAGAACCAGCUCCAACUUCAGCUUUCUUGUCAGAAUCUCCUGGUCUUUCCAUUCUCCUAUAACCCAUUCUAUCAUCAGGCUUGGAACCCUCAGACCUCAUAGGAUUAGGCCUAGCUCUUGCAGUUUCCGUCCUUGUUUGUCUUUUGAGGGUAUAAGGGACAAUUUCAGGAGGCAAAUUCAAGAAGGUCCUUAAAUAAUCUAUGCCUGGAUUGGUUAGCAC